UAUAUGAUAAUAAAAUUCAACUUAAAAAAUUAACUAAAUUUAAUAAGUUCAAGUGAAUGUAGAAUUAUUAGACAUAAAGUGUUUUUAAAUUAAAGAGCACGGUAAUUGUAGCUCUUUUUCUUCAACAUUUUUAUUUAUUUGUGUGUACUCUUUAAAAAAAUUUUCUCAAGCCGGUCGGUCAGUGCUUUUGUUAUUCAACAGCCAGAAUUUGUGUGUGCACCUACAUGGCGUAUACGUCACAAAAACGAAUUCACUUGCGGCCGCUGGCGUUUCUUCAAAAGUUGAAUGUAAAUAUGGCAUAUACAGAAAGCAAUUAAAAUCGUACAACAACAAGAGUCAGCAAAAUCGUGCGACUACAUAGUUCUUGUUUUGCCAUUCCCCUUUCAAAAAAUAUUUCAUUUCUCCAGUCGUAAAAUAGGUCUAAUAAAAGCAAACGGUUGAUAGAGGCUAUCAUAAAGCUGAAACUACAAUAAAUCGUGUGCCUAAAAAAGGAACACAAUUUUAAAGACCACCAGGAGAAUUGUUUCUUCACAUCUCUUUGACAUUUACUCAAACUAUUGCACUCCUCCUAGGCGAGCCAUAUCUCAAGUGUUAGUGACGCUUUUGUGUUGCAAAAACAACGAACGAAGCUGCAAAAGAUACACAUAGAUAGUUUUUGACCUCGUUAUUUGCGUUAUGCGUUAGCAGCCAGCUGGUAGAGUGCUGCAUAGCCGACUAGGAUACAAAUUCAGGCUCAACCUCUUGCAAGAAGUCGUACAACGACUGCAAAAACCCAUUUCUACAGCACAAAUAUUAUACUAUAUGCAGAGAAGAAGUUGAUUGUAAGUGAAAUAGUAAAAAUAGGGGUAAAACAUAACGGUUAUAAGCACAUUAGAAAAAAGUAAAAGAAAAGAGCACUUGUAGACAAAAAAUGCAUACCAUUUUCUAUAGUUGAGUUUAGUUCGGCACACUUCAGUAUAGUUGAUGUGGAUGCAAUGCUGCCGGGGCCACUAAGGCGACAUUGUACUCGUCUGGUCUUUCACCCGAACCCAAAUAAUAACCGAACAGCUGUUUACAUAAGCACUUUAAGCUACCUCUCACUACUUGACUGACUGACUAAAGGAGCGAUUGACUGCUUGUGCGACGUUUGUCUACAACCAGCGCAUUUAGUUAUCUUCAACUUCCUUUGCUUAUGUACAGUUAUGAAUUUAUAUAUAUGGUUUUCUACUACAGUUGUGUGUAAACAUCGCGCUGGCUUCAGUAUUCAACAAUAAAUCAACAAGAAACUAAAGCGAGAAAUUUUAAAGUGGAAAACAAAUACCUAAGUGGAAGUGCAAGUGGAUGUGAGAAGUGGUAACAUUUGAUAAUACAACUGUAAAUAUGCAGCUAUUCGACGUGCACGUACACGUAUUUUCGAGUGUGUGUGAAUGAUUUGCAAACGCAUUUAGAACGACAAGUGCGAGUGUUGAGUAUUGAGUAUUUGUAUGCUUAAUGCCGAAAAAGUGUGUUUUUGGCUAUAGUUUAACAUAAAGUGAAUUUAAAAUUAUUUAUUAGAAUAAAGUUGAAGAAUUAAUACGAGAAAUCAACAAAAAGCUGCAAAACAGUUAACUACAAAAUUUAGUAAAAAUUUACAAUUUAAUUUCGGCUGCCAGUGAGCAAAUUAAUUAACUUCAGGUUGUCGCGAAUCAACUGCAUCGAAUUGGCCAAUCAAUUGAACAACAACGUUAUCGGCGUGGCAAUGCGCGAGAAGAAGGGCGGCGCAUUGCAAAAGCUCAAAAAGAGGCUAUCGCAUAGUUUUGGCAGAUUAAGUAAGUUGUUCAGCGGAAGUCUAGUUAAACAAAGUGCACUAAUGCUAAAUAUUUUGAGAAUUAUGAUAAUAUAUGGUGCGGAGAAGGGUAAGAUAAAGCAUAGUAAACUGAAAAAUGAAGAGAUUGCUUCACUGGCGUAAAAUCUCAUGAUGGUAUUGCAUUAUUGAACUGCCCUAUGACCCUUAUUGAAUGUAGAAAUCAGCAAAUGCGGCGAAACAGCUAAAAUUUUUCAAAAAUGUAAAAAAAAAAUAAAUUUAAUAUAUGCAUAUAUAUAUACACAUGGUAGAAAAAGUCUGCGUUCACCCACUGUUAUAAAGUAUUAAAAUAAUUUAACGUGUUUAUCUUAAAACUCUCAGUUAUUUCUUUUCACUUAUUUCAAAGAAAAUUAUUCAUAGAGGUUAUGAACAAAAUUUUUUGGAGUUUGAGCUGCGUCGUGUUCAGAUAACGGGAUUGUAGUACAGUUACUUAAAUAGGCUAAGCAGAAAAAGUGUGCGUUCAUUUCGAAUAGUGACGAUUAUUUGCAUGGCAAUUACGUUAAAUUAAAUUUUAAAUCAUUCAUGUAGUUGACGCGGUUAAGAACAAAU